AAAGAUUAAGAGAAGAGAAUUAGGGUUUCUCAAAAUUGAAGGGAUAGAAGACCGUGGCACUGCUAGGGGCAGCCAGCGAAUUCGCUAUAUUGAGGUUUAGUUGACAUUGAUUCAGACUGUUGAGUUGAAGCCUGGUUUAGUAACUAGAGAUUAGAGCAAUGCAAUAUCUUUUGGUGGUAGAUCAUUGGAGACAUAGAUUGAAGCCUUCUUUGGAGCUAUGUUAGUUGAUGGACUGUUUUAGUAUAUUUUUUUAGGAUAGUGAGUUUGGCAUUUGUGGAACUAUUUGAGUUUGUAUUUGGAGACUUUAUUGUUAAAGUUUU